GGUUAAGCGACUAAGCGUACACGGUGGAUGCCCUGGCAGUCAGAGGCGAUGAAGGACGUGCUAAUCUGCGAUAAGCGUCGGUAAGGUGAUAUGAACCGUUAUAACCGGCGAUUUCCGAAUGGGGAAACCCAGUGUGUUUCGACACACUAUCAUUAACUGAAUCCAUAGGUUAAUGAGGCGAACCGGGGGAACUGAAACAUCUAAGUACCCCGAGGAAAAGAAAUCAACCGAGAUUCCCCCAGUAGCGGCGAGCGAACGGGGAGGAGCCCAGAGCCUGAAUCAGUGUGUGUGUUAGUGGAAGCGUCUGGAAAGGCGCGCGAUACAGGGUGACAGCCCCGUACACAAAAAUGCACAUACUGUGAGCUCGAUGAGUAGGGCGGGACACGUGGUAUCCUGUCUGAAUAUGGGGGGACCAUCCUCCAAGGCUAAAUACUCCUGACUGACCGAUAGUGAACCAGUACCGUGAGGGAAAGGCGAAAAGAACCCCGGCGAGGGGAGUGAAAAAGAACCUGAAACCGUGUACGUACAAGCAGUGGGAGCCUCUUAAUGGGGUGACUGCGUACCUUUUGUAUAAUGGGUCAGCGACUUAUAUUCUGUAGCAAGGUUAACCGAAUAGGGGAGCCGAAGGGAAACCGAGUCUUAACUGGGCGUUAAGUUGCAGGGUAUAGACCCGAAACCCGGUGAUCUAGCCAUGGGCAGGUUGAAGGUUGGGUAACACUAACUGGAGGACCGAACCGACUAAUGUUGAAAAAUUAGCGGAUGACUUGUGGCUGGGGGUGAAAGGCCAAUCAAACCGGGAGAUAGCUGGUUCUCCCCGAAAGCUAUUUAGGUAGCGCCUCGUGAAUUCAUCUCCGGGGGUAGAGCACUGUUUCGGCAAGGGGGUCAUCCCGACUUACCAACCCGAUGCAAACUGCGAAUACCGGAGAAUGUUAUCACGGGAGACACACGGCGGGUGCUAACGUCCGUCGUGAAGAGGGAAACAACCCAGACCGCCAGCUAAGGUCCCAAAGUCAUGGUUAAGUGGGAAACGAUGUGGGAAGGCCCAGACAGCCAGGAUGUUGGCUUAGAAGCAGCCAUCAUUUAAAGAAAGCGUAAUAGCUCACUGGUCGAGUCGGCCUGCGCGGAAGAUGUAACGGGGCUAAACCAUGCACCGAAGCUGCGGCAGCGACACUAUGUGUUGUUGGGUAGGGGAGCGUUCUGUAAGCCUGCGAAGGUGUACUGUGAGGUAUGCUGGAGGUAUCAGAAGUGCGAAUGCUGACAUAAGUAACGAUAAAGCGGGUGAAAAGCCCGCUCGCCGGAAGACCAAGGGUUCCUGUCCAACGUUAAUCGGGGCAGGGUGAGUCGACCCCUAAGGCGAGGCCGAAAGGCGUAGUCGAUGGGAAACAGGUUAAUAUUCCUGUACUUGGUGUUACUGCGAAGGGGGGACGGAGAAGGCUAUGUUGGCCGGGCGACGGUUGUCCCGGUUUAAGCGUGUAGGCUGGUUUUCCAGGCAAAUCCGGAAAAUCAAGGCUGAGGCGUGAUGACGAGGCACUACGGUGCUGAAGCAACAAAUGCCCUGCUUCCAGGAAAAGCCUCUAAGCAUCAGGUAACAUCAAAUCGUACCCCAAACCGACACAGGUGGUCAGGUAGAGAAUACCAAGGCGCUUGAGAGAACUCGGGUGAAGGAACUAGGCAAAAUGGUGCCGUAACUUCGGGAGAAGGCACGCUGAUAUGUAGGUGAAGUCCCUCGCGGAUGGAGCUGAAAUCAGUCGAAGAUACCAGCUGGCUGCAACUGUUUAUUAAAAACACAGCACUGUGCAAACACGAAAGUGGACGUAUACGGUGUGACGCCUGCCCGGUGCCGGAAGGUUAAUUGAUGGGGUUAGCGGUAACGCGAAGCUCUUGAUCGAAGCCCCGGUAAACGGCGGCCGUAACUAUAACGGUCCUAAGGUAGCGAAAUUCCUUGUCGGGUAAGUUCCGACCUGCACGAAUGGCGUAAUGAUGGCCAGGCUGUCUCCACCCGAGACUCAGUGAAAUUGAACUCGCUGUGAAGAUGCAGUGUACCCGCGGCAAGACGGAAAGACCCCGUGAACCUUUACUAUAGCUUGACACUGAACAUUGAGCCUUGAUGUGUAGGAUAGGUGGGAGGCUUUGAAGUGUGGACGCCAGUCUGCAUGGAGCCGACCUUGAAAUACCACCCUUUAAUGUUUGAUGUUCUAACGUUGGCCCCUUACCGGGGUUGCGGACAGUGUCUGGUGGGUAGUUUGACUGGGGCGGUCUCCUCCUAAAGAGUAACGGAGGAGCACGAAGGUUGGCUAAUCCUGGUCGGACAUCAGGAGGUUAGUGCAAUGGCAUAAGCCAGCUUGACUGCGAGCGUGACGGCGCGAGCAGGUGCGAAAGCAGGUCAUAGUGAUCCGGUGGUUCUGAAUGGAAGGGCCAUCGCUCAACGGAUAAAAGGUACUCCGGGGAUAACAGGCUGAUACCGCCCAAGAGUUCAUAUCGACGGCGGUGUUUGGCACCUCGAUGUCGGCUCAUCACAUCCUGGGGCUGAAGUAGGUCCCAAGGGUAUGGCUGUUCGCCAUUUAAAGUGGUACGCGAGCUGGGUUUAGAACGUCGUGAGACAGUUCGGUCCCUAUCUGCCGUGGGCGCUGGAGAACUGAGGGGGGCUGCUCCUAGUACGAGAGGACCGGAGUGGACGCAUCACUGGUGUUCGGGUUGUCAUGCCAAUGGCACUGCCCGGUAGCUAAAUGCGGAAGAGAUAAGUGCUGAAAGCAUCUAAGCACGAAACUUGCCCCGAGAUGAGUUCUCCCUGACUCUUUAAGGGUCCUGAAGGAACGUUGAAGACGACGACGUUGAUAGGCCGGGUGUGUAAGCGCAGCGAUGCGUUGAGCUAACCGGUACUAAUGAACCGUGAGGCUUAACCUU
rnacentral:rRNA from 1 species